rnacentral:rRNA from 1 species
ACAUCCAGAGAACUUUCCAGAGAUGGAUUGGUGCCUUCGGGAACUCUGAGACAGGUGCUGCAUGGCUGUCGUCAGCUCGUGUUGUGAAAUGUUGGGUUAAGUCCCGCAACGAGCGCAACCCUUAUCCUUUGUUGCCAGCGGUUAGGCCGGGAACUCAAAGGAGACUGCCAGUGAUAAACUGGAGGAAGGUGGGGAUGACGUCAAGUCAUCAUGGCCCUUACGGGUAGGGCUACACACGUGCUACAAUGGCGCAUACAAAGAGAAGCGACCUCGCGAGAGCAAGCGGACCUCAUAAAGUGCGUCGUAGUCCGGAUUGGAGUCUGCAACUCGACUCCAUGAAGUCGGAAUCGCUAGUAAUCGUGGAUCAGAAUGCCACGGUGAAUACGUUCCCGGGCCUUGUACACACCGCCCGUCACACCAUGGGAGUGGGUUGCAAAAGAAGUAGGUAGCUUAACCUUCGGGAGGGCGCUUACCACUUUGUGAUUCAUGACUGGGGUGAAGUCGUAACAAGGUAAGCGUAGUGCU